rnacentral:rRNA from 1 species
GACGAACGCUGGCGGCGUGCCUAAUACAUGCAAGUCGAGCGGACGGAUGGGAGCUUGCUCCCAGACCGUCAGCGGCGGACGGGUGAGUAACACGUGGGCAACCUGCCUGUAAGACUGGGAUAACUCCGGGAAACCGGGGCUAAUACCGGAUAACUCUUUCCCUCACAUGAGGGAAAGCUGAAAGAUGGCAUCUCGCUAUCACUUACAGAUGGGCCCGCGGCGCAUUAGCUAGUUGGUGAGGUAACGGCUCACCAAGGCGACGAUGCGUAGCCGACCUGAGAGGGUGAUCGGCCACACUGGGACUGAGACACGGCCCAGACUCCUACGGGAGGCAGCAGUAGGGAAUCUUCCGCAAUGGACGAAAGUCUGACGGAGCAACGCCGCGUGAGUGAUGAAGGUUUGCGGAUCGUAAAACUCUGUUGUCAGGGAAGAACAAGUACCGGAGUAACGGCCGGUACCUUGACGGUACCUGACCAGAAAGCCACGGCUAACUACGU